rnacentral:tRNA from 1 species
UCCCGGCUAGCUCAGUCGGUAGAGCGUCAGACUCUUAAUCUGAAUGUCGUGGGUUCGAUCCCCACGUUGGGAG